UGCGGUGCCCGAUGGGUUGCUGCAAUGAGUUGCCGCUCGGGCGGCAACUCUUCAGAGCUUCUUUUGCCAGGUUGCUGCUUUUAAUUUGGCAAAUGGAGGCGGCGGCCGGUUGGACUUAAGGUGUGCUCUGUGCAGGUGUCAUUAGAAAGGGAAAUGGUGUGAUUGUGUAGGUGCUAGCCGAAGUGAAAGUUUUACGGCCCCCGGUGAGAACGCCCUUGCUCAUCCCUUAUGUAUUUGAGCACGCUGCGAAGCUUGGCCUUCGGUGAUUAUGAUGGCUACAACAUAUCCAGGGCCCGAAGUAACAGCUGACUGAGUGGCAUAAAAUUCUCUCCUCUCAAACACCAUGACAUAAUACUCAAAUAUACUCAAGGAAUUUCACCAUGGACGUCGGGCCAUUCCUGAAGCAAUUUUGCUGCUCCGCACAGGAAAGCGGAGGGUGGGAAGCCGGGAAAGACAGCGGCAGCGUUAUAAACACUCGGAGGUUGGAGCCAUUAAGGAGGAAUGCCGGCUGCAGUCUGGGAAAAGGCAAGAACAGCGUGCAGACGAUGAGUUACGAGGACCGCCUUUCAGCAGUUGCCGCGGCCGAAGAGAGGAAUCAAAUAAAGGAGCCCCCUAUAUGCAGCUCUGUUUGCGCUGUAACUGACGCCCUUUGUAUGCUGACGAUAAUUAUUUUCAUGAGCAGUCCUGCUAGUUGAAUUGGAUCAAGUCAUUCAGCCUUUAUGAUGUAAAAUUCGGCAUGGUCGGUGUUGUAGCUCUUUAAUUGAGACACUGCAUUUUCCACGCCAUGAAUUUUCUCAGGACAGCUGAAAUGUCACCGGUUGUCACUACCACAGCCCGCCUGUCACCAUUGCUCUCGAAAUAAUGCAGGGAGGGAAAAAAGUUCGUUUGUACUCACUAUAUUCGUGCUGAGCAAUCCUUUUGGGCCACCGAGUUUCCUCUCUCUCUGUCUCCGACCACCAUCUGUAAUUUAUCGAGGCAAAAAAUUUUGAGAAUUAUGCUUUUACGACUCUUGCUGUUCUUUAAUGACUAACAUGAAUAUAUGUUUGUGUAGCUAUAAAGACGUUUUAUUAGAGUAAGCUUGCACAAAAGACAAUCCCAGAGCUCCAUAAUGGUACAAAUUAACGAUUAAGUUAAUUUUUUUUACGACCAACCUACCUACCAAAAGGUGUCAUUUUUAUUAUUCAUGAAGUUGAAAUAUGGCCGUUAAAGAUGAAAUAUAUGAAGUGACACGUUUCUAUACGGUCGUUUUAGAAGAUUUAAUUUUUUAUAUUGAAGCUAUUAAGACGUCUGCGCUGUUCAGCUUUCACGGGUUGUUAUUUUAAUGCAAUAUCUUUAUAAUGCACUCCAAAUCAUGGUGGUUUCAUGCUUUUACCUUCAAGGUAAAAUGAUGACGACUGCUAAAGGGACUGGAACGAAAGGUGAAUUUUCUAAUAAAGACUGGAUUAUUUAAGCGGGCUAUUUGUAUUUUAAUGAACAUUGAAUUGGAGCUUACAAAUGUCAGGUAUUAGAAAAAUGAGGGCGAUUAUUUUCUAAUAUAUAGUGUACUUUAAGAAAUUACAACGCCUGAAAUGAAUGCCCUGACAAAGUCCGAAAGAUAAUGUUCAUAUGAGGGCCAUAUUUUUGGGAUCUUUUGUCAUUAAUUACUUAAUUGCCGGAUAUAGUAACUUUCCAUCACAGAGUCUUCAUAUAAGGUAGCAAAUUUAGUGUCACGUUCUUGGAUGGUUAGAGUUGUUAUUGGGGCACACGAUUUGAAACAUGACUGUUUUUUAUAGUAUUUAAUAAAUGAAUGAAUGAAUGGUAGUUU